GACGGAGGGUGCAAGCGUUGUUCGGAAUUACUGGGCGUAAAGCGCGCGUAGGCGGUUCGAUCAGCCGAAUGUGAAAGCCCGAGGCUCAACCUCGGAAGGGCAUUCGAAACUGUCAGGCUUGAGUACGGGAGAGGGAAGUGGAAUUCCUGGUGUAGAGGUGAAAUUCGUAGAUAUCAGGAGGAACACCGGUGGCGAAGGCGGCUUCCUGGACCGAUACUGACGCUGAGACGCGAAAGCGUGGGGAGCAAACAGG
rnacentral:rRNA from 1 species